AAAAAAUGGUUUUUGACUUAAUUAUAAGUGACAGCUACAUUAACAUAAAAUCAUGGUUUAUUCAACAGAGCGAGAGUUUGAGAUAAAACCUUUAAUCAAUAAAGUUAACUGAAACGAUUUAUUUUAAAACCAAGAAACCGACAAAGAAUUGAUUCCCUAAUUACGACGAACUACAUACCGAUAUCCGCUUUAUUAAUAUUUAAUCUAGAUCUUAUUUUAGUUUUAGCUCUUCC
rnacentral:lncRNA from 1 species